UUCCGGGAGAGAAGACCGUGCUGGCCUGUGUCACAUCAUCACAGAGGCUGAGGUCCCGGAGCGGCUACAGGAAGGGACCCAGCUUCGCUCUCUUCCCGGGUGUCGUCCUGGGUGUGGUGGGUGGGCUUGACCACACCUGAAGUCUCAUCGGCAGACCGCAGGAGGUCACACCGAGGACCACACGCUCCCUUCGCCACCGAGAGUCGGGGACAUCGGGAGUUUGAAGGACCCAGGAGGCCUUGGUAACAGGAGGGUGAGCUGCUGGUUGGCGUAUCCAUGGCUCUCGUUUGUCAGGAUCGACUGCAUCAUUGGAAAGGUAUGGAUUGGCAAGUGUUCUGAACCAGCCCAGUGCUCAGCUUAGGAAGACCCUUAUCCUUGCUUCCAGAAGCUCGCCGUGCACGGAUGGGGAAGAUCAAUGUGUCCCCAGGUAUUCAUGCUAUGUUAGAGCAAUGGCCGGGAGAGAGGCACGUACAGACACUCAGAGCACCGCGGGUGGGACCAAAUGUCCUGGGAGGACGAGGAAGGUAGACAGUGCUUCACAAGGACAGGGGACAGCAUCUGGACUGGGCCUUCAGUUGUCAAAGGGGGGAGCUGGUGCCAUAGGACUGGGCCCAGAGCGGGGAUAGAGGGAUGUCUGGAGACGGG
rnacentral:lncRNA from 1 species